UUGGCCAAAGGAAGUAGAGAGAGACAAGGGAGGGAAGGAAGGAAGGAAUCACUAAGACCUCAACAUUUAGCAAAAUGUAAAAGGUUACCUUAAAAAACGGCAACAAGUGUCAGCUGAGCCAAGACUGGGCCCGUCACAUCACACCAGCAGCGUUGGUGCAGCUGAUGAGCAGAACUUUCAGGCUGGGUCUCCAGUACUUGGGUCAUGUGGUGGAGCCCACGGAGAGGGGGCGGAAGCCACCACAGCCCCACCUGCCCCUCCUCCACAGUCUGAAAAAGAGCCUGGGGCCAUUGUGGCUCCUAGAAACGUGCCAGAGAAGAAGUGAGGCAUCGGACUUUCGAUGGACAUCGGUGCUCACGGGCCCUGAACACGGAGGUUCCCUCCAUCUCCUGCAGGGACUGGCCACUCUGGGGCAUGUUCUGAAUGGAUAAUGCUUCCCAAGUACCAGUGAUUGCACCUAGGACUGCUGAGCUGCUGCUUAGGAUCAAGAGAGCUGGCCAGGGCCACAGGAGAGGAGGUCUGGAGGGGGUCGUGGGCACCCCGCUGGGCCAGCAAGGCAGGAAGUAAGUGAAGAGAGGCUCUGAGUCAGGACAGCCAAGUUCAAAUCACAGCUUUCCCACCUGCUACUUAGAUAUAACAGCACUAUCCACCUCUCAGGGUUCUGGGGAGGAUUAAAUGAGAUAAUACAUACAAAGCCCUCAUCAUCAUAGGGUCAAUUCAGAAGGCUCUGGAUUUGGGCCAGGCCAACUCUGGCUCAUUAUAAUAUCAAGAGCAGGUACAAAGUGUUCCUUCUGCCAAUAACUAUUCAUUGAGCACCUACUAUGCAUCAGGCCCUGUGCUAGACAGCAGAGCUAGAGCAACAAAGAAGACAGAAAUAAUACCAGACUUCAUGGAGCUUCUAGCCUGGUGAGAAGCAAAGGAAAGUGCUGGAUGGACAUCAGACAAAUAGUGACACAGAGAGUGAAUUACUCUCCAUUUUGAAUAGGAAGCCAAGGUGCCCAGGGAACAUGUGACUAGGGAGCUCACCAGAUCUGGGUGACUAAGGGGGACAAAUCUUUGAUUGUUCCUCCUUCUUGCUGACUGGAAUGAGGGCAUGAUGGCUGGAGCUUAGCAGCCAUAUCGGACCAUGAGGCAGAGCUGCUGGGUAAGGGGGACCUGCAUCCAUGAUGACUCUAUCAAAGGGCCAAACUCCUUCUGUAUUGCCUGCUCCUGACUUCUUUAUCACCUCCUUGAGAGAAAAUGACCUUCCUCUUCUUUAAGAAAAGCAGUUUUUUCCUUUGUUCUGUCUUUGUCCUCAAAAAGCUCUGACCCACCAGAUCAGAGUUAGUAAUGAACACACUGCCUCCGUACUAGACUGUAAGAACCUUGGAGGGCAGAGGGAGUGCAGUGCCCAGCACUGGGCUUUCCUCAUGGGAGGGAGUCAGCAGCCGUUGGGAGCAUUAGCAUGAGUGGGAAGGCUGUAAGAGGAGAAUCACGGACAGAAAAGUCAAGGUGGAUGUCCAUCUGGAGCAAGAGGCAUGAACCAUUUCCAGAGGUUCCUGGGGGCAGAGCUAAAGAAGCACAGAACAGAGAAACUCAACAGCCAAGAAAGCAGAACCUACCAGGACAAGAGCUGAAGGACUUGAACCCAGGAAGAGAACAGACCUCAAAACAAAGUGCCUGAAGGUUUUAGAGAUCCUUGGGGAUGGCUUCAAGGUGGCCCCGACUUUGAGAGUGACAUCGAGAGAAGACUCAAGAUGGCAGCAGAGAGAACUGGCUUGCUAGCUGGCUGAGUUCAGGUAAGUGUCCUGGCCUCUCUGAGUUUCAGUUUACUCAUAAAGCAAUCAACGUAGAUCAGAAUAAUAUGUAUGAAACGCUCCACACACCGAUACAUAGUAGGCGUCCAAUAAAAAUGGCCGAUGUGGGUGCUGUGGGUGCUGU
rnacentral:lncRNA from 12 species